rnacentral:tRNA from 1 species
ACCGAAAUAGCUCGGUUGGAAAAGCGGUAGAAUAUAGAUCUAAAAGUCCCUGGUUCGAUCCCGGGUUCCGGCA